AGCAUAAUAUAAGUCUAUGUUACGGCCAUAGAAUCGGUGAUUCUCAUCUUAUGCUUU
rnacentral:tRNA from 1 species